rnacentral:rRNA from 1 species
UGGGGAAUAUUGGACAAUGGGCGAAAGCCUGAUCCAGCAAUGCCGCGUGAGUGACGAAGGCCUUAGGGUUGUAAAGCUCUUUUACCAGGGAUGAUAAUGACAGUACCUGGAGAAUAAGCUCCGGCUAACUCCGUGCCAGCAGCCGCGGUAAUACGGAGGGAGCUAGCGUUGUUCGGAAUUACUGGGCGUAAAGCGUACGUAGGCGGUGACUCAAGUCAGAGGUGAAAGCCUGGAGCUCAACUCCAGAACUGCCUUUGAAACUAGGUCGCUAGAAUCACGGAGAGGUGAGUGGAAUUCCGAGUGUAGAGGUGAAAUUCGUAGAUAUUCGGAAGAACACCAGUGGCGAAGGCGGCUCACUGGACGUGUAUUGACGCUGAGGUACGAAAGCGUGGGGAGCAAACAGGAUUAGAUACCCCAGUAGUCCCUGAGCGGGCUGGCAAGGCGCAU